GAUCAUGGCUCAGGAUGAACGCUAGCGGCAGGCUUAACACAUGCAAGUCGAGGGGCAGCGGGGAGUAGCAAUACUCCGCCGGCGACCGGCGCACGGGUGCGUAACGCGUAUGCAACCUACCUUUAACAGGGGCAUAACACUGAGAAAUUGGUACUAAUACCCCAUAAUAUCAUAGAAGGCAUCUUUUAUGGUUGAAAAUUCCGAUGGUUAGAGAUGGGCAUGCGUUGUAUUAGCUAGUUGG
rnacentral:rRNA from 1 species